rnacentral:lncRNA from 1 species
GAAUAGGGAGUUGGGAUGCCUCAAAUCCCAAGCCUUCUCCUCUCCCUCUCAUCCUAAUCAAGAAUCCACAUCCCUACUCUCCCAAAAACCUUAAAAUCCCUCCAAACCAAAACUCAUUCUUUCCAAAUCCAUCUUUCUCAUGGGUCAUUUUUAGUUUUCCCCAAAUCUUCAAGCCCUAACCCACUUUUCAUCAUCUUUUUGCAUCAUGGCCCCCA